rnacentral:lncRNA from 1 species
CUCCUGUGACUGCGGGAGCCUUUGCCUUGCCCGCCAAGCUGUCUUGGGCUCUUGGUUCCUCAGUCUCUGGAAAACUGAAAGGCGCCUGGGGUGGGCUCCAAGGCUCCUGGCUGGCCGGGCGAGCUCAGGGCUUGGAACCCGAGCCUGGUGAGGGUGGCCCCGAAACGCUUUGCCCCCACCCAGCCCCCACCCGCUGGCCGGCCUCGCUCUAUCCCGGGGGAGUUUCCUGUCCCCUCACCACACUUUCCAUGACGCAAGAGGAAGUCAGCUGCCCAGCCUGGGUUUUCCACGCAGCCUGGGCAGAGGAGGGGUGGAGUGAGCCCCUGGGCGGGAGUCAGAACUCAGGGCCUUCCAGGGACAGACAGAUACUGCAGCCGCCCUGGGCCACACCAGGUAAGGGCGGGUCACUGGGAGGGUCAUCCGUGGGCACCGGCAGCAGGCCUAGACCCGCCCCUGGACGGUCACUCCCAGUGCCCUGGCCUUUGCUCCCCUCUAGGGCAAAGGGACCCCAGGGAUCUGGGCAGGGAAGAGCUGAGGGUCGGAGGCCGUGAGUGAGGAGAGGAAGCUCACUGAGCAGUCCGUCCCCCCUGAGUGGAUGAGGAGUGAGUGAAUCUGCGGUUCCCAAAGGCACAGGACGGCCUGGUGGUCGAGCGGGCAGGAGGGGCCUCUUCCAGUCUGUUAGUGACGGAGCCCUUGAACCCCUGUGCUUCACAGCCCAGCAGUGGCUUCCAGCCCACGGCCCAGAAAGGGCCCAGCUCUGUCCCUCCAGCUGGACCCUGGUGGGUGUCACUCGGGCCCAUCACUCUGUGACCAGGUGUGGUGGCCGAGGUCAGCUGUCUUGUUCUCAACCAGGGCUUCCUGUGCUGUGGCCUGCUCUGACCCUGGCUGCGUGGCUGAGGACUCCCAGGUCACUGGGUGGGGCGUGCGGCCCUGUGUGGUGUCUCGGGACGUCCACGCUGUCUCCGGUUGGGCUGGGGCCUCUCAGGGUGGGCCUGACUCGAGGACGGUCCCUGGCGAUUGGAUGGUGCUGCCCCACACACCUGGCGAGCCUCGGGCUGGGGGCGCCCCAGAACCUGUGGCUGUGCGAUCACAUUCGGGCAGGACUUGGGGCCUGUGGCUGGGUCCCNNNNNNNNNNNNNNNNNNNNNNNNNNNNNNNNNNNNNNNNNNNNNNNNNCAGGACUUGGGGCCUGUGGCUGGCUCCACACUGACAGUUGGGUGGCCUGGCCAGGAGGCCUCCCUCUGGGGACUCAUCCUCUUCCCAUGUCGCACGCAGAGCUUCGAGACGUUUCCAUGGCAAUGGAUGGAGGCCUUGGAAGCCGGUGCCCCAGCCAGAGGCAGAUGGGCUCAGGCUGGGCAGGUGCAGCCUAGGGCCUCUCAGCCCCUCGGCUGUGGCUCAGCUUUCUGUGCUCGCCGUGCUGGACGCAGGUGCACAGCGGUGUGGGACAGGCGCGAACCCACCCACUUUCCAGCUCGGCAGCCACGCGGCCCAGCUCCAAAGGCUGACGGCAGAGGCCACGCACGGGCUGAAGCUCGCGCUGUGCUCGGAGCUCUCGGUGCCUGGGGAGACAGCAGGAGGGGAAGCCAACCCAGCUCACGCUGGACCCCCAGCCGGCCGGGACAAGGGGAGCGACUCGGGGUGACUGGGGUGACCUGCACCCCGAAAUCUCACCGCCGUAAGAUGGAGUUGGGAGUGGAACCGUGCACGCAGCCUGUGCACCCGCAGAAGGGGUUUCGGGAGUUCCCCAAAGACAACAGCAGGUUGAUGGCAGCGGGGAGCGGCACAGAGAUUCUGGGCUUUGUCUUCAUCCAUGCACCUCUGCAUUGUGUGAUGUGUUAAGGAAGGGACAUUGUGAUCCAAGGCCUUGGUCUCACACAGCCUGAAAGAGGGCUGGGCUGGGCCUGGAGGCGGGAGCCCUUGUGCAUGCGCAAGGCCAGGGCUCAGGCCCUGCUCCACCCCCAAGCCAUGAAAGGGGUCGGCGGAAGAUCCUUUGUAUUUUUGUAUAAUGAUGUAUAACAUGUAUUUUUAUAAUGUGAUUUUUUUCUUAAUAAUAAAAACAAUAAAUGUUUAUUGAGAAAAAUCAAUAAAAAUAGCCGAGUAUAAAGAAAAAAAGUC